rnacentral:rRNA from 1 species
CGGGAAAAGCUCAAAUUUAAAAUCUGGCGGCUUCGCCGUCCGAGUUGUAAUUUAGAGAAGUGCUAUCCGCGCUGGACCGUGUACAAGUCUCCUGGAAUGGAGCGUCAUAGAGGGUGAGAAUCCCGUCUUUGACACGGACUACCAGGGCAUUGUGAUACGCUCUC